rnacentral:lncRNA from 1 species
UGUUUCAUGCACAAAUGCUUGAAUGUUGACGUAUAUUUUCGUUUACGGCUUUAUCAAGUGUGUAGAAUCUAGACGCUACCGUGUUUUUACCUCCAAAUUGAAGAGUUCAAGUGCUACCAUUGGUCAAGAAUAAUGUAUACCGAAUGGGCGUGACUUUAAUCUUCCGAUAGAUGGCGCAACAUUGUUUUCACAAAUGUUGGAUUAAUCUGCCAAGGGUGAAGAGAACGGGAGUGGAUCGUAACCCUUGACUAGCGAAGAUG